UUUAAAUGAGUGCUGUUUAAACACCUUAAUUUAGUAAGUUCUCCAAAAGUUGGUUAGCAUAUGAACACAGUUUUAAGAGCUCAUAAUGAGGACUUAGUCAAAAUGAAGAACUCUGAAGCUUAAUUCAUUCCAGGAAAGAAGAGUAUAUAUACAAGAGUUUGGGUGCCCAGAAUAGGGAGGAGACAUUUGCAGGAAAGACAGCAAAGAGGCAGGCAAGGGGGUGGCAAACACAAAAGCAAUUAUUCCCUCAAGGAAUGAUCAAGGUUGUAAAAUGUAUACACAAGACUCAUAGACUUCUUCCAUCUGCCCUUGAAUUAUCACUGUUCUGGUCAUUCUGCCCCAACUUUUUUGCUUUUUCCAUGUUUCCAAUCCCAGAUCUCACCGGCUUUUUUCUAAGUGUAAUGUAUGGUUUAAUUCUGAAUAUUUACAGCAAUUCCAUUAUAGAGUGAAUAGCAAAGGAUCAAUUCUAGAAGAGAGAUACAGAGAAUGUUCUACAUCUACAGAGAGGGGGUAGUUUUUUUUCCGGGGUUUGGGGAAGAGCAGGCUUUUUUUUUUUUAACUUUAAGAAGCUGAGGGGUUUGAGGAUGAGAUUAAUGGGGGGGGGGGGCAGAAAACAAAAGGUCCAAGAUUUGAAGUCAGGAAGAACACAUUAAAGGAAAGGAGGGUGAGGGGAAGCCCAACAAAAAGGACCGUGGAACCAAGCCUGAGGCAGGUGGUUGGUGUAAAGAUGGGCUUCACCUGCGUCUUCCCAAAGUCCUCCCCGACAUUCUUCAUAGCAACCAUCCUUUCCCUCUACCCACUCCCACCCAACUCCCAUUCUAGG
rnacentral:lncRNA from 1 species